rnacentral:rRNA from 1 species
GAUGAACGCUGGCGGCGUGCCUAAUACAUGCAAGUCGAGCGAACGUACGAGAAGCUUGCUUUUCUGAUGUUAGCGGCGGACGGGUGAGUAACACGUGGAUAACCUACCUAUAAGACUGGGAUAACUUCGGGACACCGGAUCUUAUACCGGAUAAUAUUUUUAACCGCAUGGUUCAAAAUUGAAAGACGGCCUUGCUGUCACUGAUAGAUGCAUCCGCGCUGCAUUAGCUAGUUGGUAAGGUAACGGCAUACCAACGCAACGAUGCAUAGCCGACCUGAAAGGGAGAACGGCCACCCGGGAAGUGAGGCACGGUCCAGACUCCUACGGGGAGAAACGGUAGAGAAUCUUACGGAAUGGAGGAAAGCCUGACGGAGCAAAGCCGAGUGAGUGAUGAAGGUCUUAGGAUCGUAAAACGCUGUUAGUAGGGAAGAAGAAAUGUGUAAGUAACUGUGCACAUCUUGACGGUACCUAAUCAGAAAGCCACGGCUAACUACGUG